UUGCGAAAUUUGAUUCAAUUAGAUUCGGCGAACUUUUACCCUUAAGCCUUCACCCUAAAUCUGCAAUCGUUUUACCUCAACCCUAAUUCCAGCUAAUAUGGCCGGCGAUUCGAUUGAAGCGACGCGCCGCAAGCACCACCGAUCCUCCACCGACGGCGCGGAGGAGCUAUCGAAGCGCCGCAAACAUCGCCACCACCACCGGCAUCGCCAUCACCACCGCCAUCGGAGCAGCAAAGAGAAGGAAGAAACGACAGAGCUGCAAUCGUUGGAAGGUGAUAGAAUCGAUGAUGCUGAGGUUGAAGAAAUCAAAUUAGAAAGUACUGCGGAGGACGGUGGAGCUUCUUUGGUGAAGCAUAAAUCUGAUCUCGCCGGAUUGGAUUAUGAGAUGGAGGAAGGAGAGAUAGUGGAGGAUGAUGGUUUAGCUGAUUUGGUUAACAAGGAUUCUGAUAAGUUGCAGAAGAAUUCGCAAUCGGAUGCUGAGUUUGGGGGAAUUAAGAAGAAUUCUCAAUCGGAUGUUGAAUUUGAGGGAAAUAAGAAGAAUUCGCAAUCUGAUGUUGAAUUUGGGGAAAUUAAGACAAACGGAUGUGUUGAUUUUAACAUGGGAGUUAAUGAAGAUAGUCCCAAAACAGUUGGUAAAAGAUUUCAGAAACCGGGGAAGGACAAAACGGACAGCAAAGAAAGUGGUGAGAUAGAUCAGGAGAGAAUAUCUAAUUCCGUUGGUCUUGCAAAUGGGGGUGAUGAUCAUAAAUAUCAGGAAGUGGAUAGCACGCAUCUCUCCAGAGAUGAUAAGAAAACUCGAAAUUCUGUUGAUGAAGUUGACCGAACAAGUUUGAGGAAAUCCUCAUCUUCCGAGAAAGAGAGAUCAUAUAGUAACCUAUUGAGGUCACCUGAUUUGUCUAGGGGAAGGUCCCGGUCCCGAAGUAUUGUACGUGAAGCUUCCGUGGAGGACCCCUAUCGUAGGGAGAAGAAACGUCGGAGUGGAUCUAAUGAUGAACGGACUGCUAGAGAUGCCAAAGCAUACAGACACAGCAGUAGGGACAUCAGUGACAAAGAACGGGAGCGUAGUUCUAGCAGCAGAUAUACGGAGAGAGUAGAAAGACAUUAUAGCAGGGAGGCUCGGGACACAUACAGGGAGGGCAGCAGGGAGAGGGAUAGAGAUAGAAUUAGAGACAACGAAAGGAAGGAAGAGGAUAUUAGAAGGGAAAGAGAAAGAAACAGACUUCAAGAUAGAUAUCUAGGAGAGAGGGAGCAAGAUAUGCGGGAGAAUGACUGGGAAAGGGAGAGAGGCAGAGAUAGGGAGAGGGAGAGGGUCAGAGACAGGGAAAGGGAGAGAGACAGAGACAGGGAGAGGGAUCGAGUAAGAGAAGAUCAGACCAGGGAUCGGGAGAGAGACCGACAAGGGGUUAGAGAUGGCAGAAGAGCUAGAAGCAGGGAUAAUGAUAUCGAUCGAUUAAGCAGACGCCAGAAAUAUGACAAGUGUGAAGAUGCUGAUAGAGAUAGGGUUAAUGAAUCCAGGCACAGAAGACACUAUGAAGAUUACCAUACAGAGAAUACUAGGAGAAGUGAUUUUGAAAAUGAGAGGUCUAAAGAUAAACUGGGUAAUGAGAAGUUGGAGAGAGAAGAUGAUAGGCAAGAGGACUAUCAAGAAAAGAUUGCAGUGCAACUUGCUGAACAGGAAGAGGAUGAUCUUGAGAAAAUCAAGGAGGAAAGUAGGAGGCGAAGGCAAGCUAUCCUUGAAAAGUACAAAAACAAACAGCAAAAACCUGAAACCCGUUUACAAGUGGAUACAGUGGGAGAAUCUUCAGCACAAGUGAUAUCUGCUGAAGUUCUACCGGAAAACUCUGACAAUCAGGCUGAAGGAGCAGAUGAUUAUGUUCCUGAACCAUCCUUUGCGGUGGGGAAAUCACCUUCACAAAAUGAUCUUUCAACUGUUGAAAUGGCCACUGGAACUGGUGGGCUAGGAGAGGGUACCCCCAAGAGCGAGAGAUCCAAUGAUAUGUUCUGUGAUGAUAUUUUUGGGGAAUCACCUGCUGGAGUUCGUAAAACGGGUAAAGGGGAUGGUUUAGCUGCUGAAAAGAGUGGACUUAAUGAUAAUUGGGAUGACGCUGAAGGUUACUAUGGCUACCGUUUUGGGGAAGUACUUGAUGGCCGUUAUGAGAUAAUAGCUGCCCACGGAAAGGGUGUAUUUUCAACUGUUGUUCGAGCAAAGGAUCUAAAGGCAAAAUCUGAUGACGCUGAAGAAGUAGCAAUCAAAAUCAUACGUAACAAUGAAACAAUGUAUAAGGCUGGUAUGGAAGAGUUGGUCAUUUUAAAGAAGUUAGUCGGUGCUGACUCUGAGAGAAAGCGCCACUGUGUUCGUUUUCUUUCUACCUUCAAGUACAGGAAUCAUCUAUGUUUAGUUUUUGAAUCUCUUCAUAUGAAUUUACGUGAAGUUCUGAAGAAAUUUGGUCGUAAUAUUGGUCUGAAGCUUACAGCUGUGAGGGCAUAUGCUAAGCAACUAUUCAUAGCAUUGAAACACCUGAAAAAUUGUGGUGUUCUUCAUUGUGAUAUCAAACCAGAUAAUAUGCUGGUGAAUGAUGCAAAAAAUGUGUUGAAGCUUUGCGACUUCGGUAAUGCCAUGUUUGCUGGUAAAAAUGAAAUCACACCAUAUCUUGUUAGCCGUUUUUAUCGUGCCCCUGAGAUAAUUCUAGGACUAUCAUAUGACCAUCCUAUGGAUAUUUGGUCAGUUGGUUGCUGUUUGUUUGAGCUUUACACCGGGAAGGUCCUAUUUCCUGGUGCUACUAACAAUGACAUGCUUCGUCUUCACAUGGAACUGAAAGGUCCUUUCCCAAAAAAGAUGCUGCGUAAGGGAGCAUUUACUGAUCAGCACUUUGACCAGGAUCUGAAUUUUCUUGCAACAGAUGAGGAUCCAGUCUCCAAAAAGCUAAUAAGGAGGUUGAUUGUGAAUAUCAAGCCAAAAGACUUUAGCACAUUAAUUUCAGGAUCUCCGGGCGAGGAUCCAAAAAUGGUUGCUAAUUUUAGAGAUCUUAUGGAAAAGAUAUUUGUCUUGGAUCCAGAUAAGAGGAUGAAUGUAUCACAGGCCUUGGGCCAUCCUUUCAUCACGGGCAAGUGAACCAUGAUGAUGAUUUCUGACUACAGAACUGCUGUUGCAUUAGAUACUCAUGCAUUUGGUCUCGUCUCAAUACUGAAUUAUCUAAUUGGACAUUUAUCUGUCUUUGUCUUCUGUCUGGGAGCGAGAAUUCAGGGGACAUUGAAUGGGGCAUGGUUGGAGUUCUUUGAGAUGAUCUUGGGGAAGGCAGUUAUGGAGUUCUAUCCAUGGAUUGUUUUCUGUUUCUAUUGACCCUUCAUAUGCUAUGAGGAAACUGUUCAAUGGUUUAGAUGAUUAAAGGCAUUCUGGAGAAGGUACCUUAGUUUGUCUUUUAGGAGUUUAUGUGGUACCUUUAAGACCUAACCAAUUUGAACGCGAAUUAUUCUAAUGAUUUUUAUUGUUCACAUUGGUUUGGAUAGUCAAGCUCAUGAAUGGUAAAUUUGACAGCAAUAUUUGCCCUUCUCUGUGACUCGUCUAUUAGCAUAUGAAUGUUCGAAUGAAUACUUGCUAGUAAAUUCAUUGUUGGUCUACUGUGCUUUUUGUUGCACCAUAUGUGCCUUCGCAUGGGUUUUGUUUUCUUGCUUCUGCCUUAGAACUUUCAUAUUACGUACAUUGAUGUUGACAUAUAUCUGAUCCAUGGUUUGGUUGUUCUGGAGGACUGUAUACCCUGAAGAUGUUUGGAUGCUGCUCUGGAGUAUGAAAUAACUCAUGUAAGUUUCGCUUUUGAUAUUUCUAUUCCAUUUUUCCUUUCAUCUUUAUCUUUCUCUGUUGUUGGGAGGAGGUUGUUUUGGUAAUGUACCACUCAUUAAGUUGUUCCAAAACUAAAUCAUGACCGGCAUCUGUUGUGUUUGUAGGUUGAGCAUCCCUUCACAGUGGUAAGUGAUUAUGUAUGUGUUGCCUAUUGUUUUCGGUCUCUUUCUUUUUUUGCUGCUAAUCAGGUUUCUGAUGCUAAGACGUCCUUGGCAUCAUGUCCAUCUAUUUAUUCGAUUUUGAUUCAAAUGACUGCCCAGUUCGUUUCCAUUUUUUUGAUUGACAAACCCUGGGUCACCUUCAUUAGGCUUUCUUGAAUGGUAAGUGAUUUUUUUGAUAUGCAAAUUGUGUGAGAUGGUAUUUGGCAGAGUUCUCAGCUUUGUUCUUUUUAAUUUACAGUCCCUUUGCUUUGCCCAAUAAAGCGCGCAUAUUUAUUUCUUCUAUUUUCCUCAUUAGAAAUUGUUACAAUAAUACUUUUGCUAUCAUAAUUUAGAGCAAUUACACAUACACACCAUGUACAAACUGUUGAAUUUCUCGUCUAAAUUGCUUAUUUGCGUCUGGAUUGCCUUGCUUCUGCCCUGCCCCGUGUCGUUGAACGACUGCAAGCUGCCGAUCCUCAUCAGAUUCUGGACCGAGUUCCUCCUUUAGAAAUAAGAAUUGAAUGUUGUUGUAAUAGCCGGACCGAAAAUGGAAAGUAAUCCAACUAUAGAAAUGCCUUGAAUUUGUCAAGGGAUUGAACAAGUUGACGACGAUUUCUGGUAUUGAAAAAAUUAAACAAACUAACUAUUCGAAUGA